rnacentral:hammerhead_ribozyme from 1 species
AUCCAGCUGAUGAGUCCAAAACAGGACUAAACUAGCAUUCUAGAU